AUACGGAGGAUGCGAGCGUUAUCCGGAUUUAUUGGGUUUAAAGGGUGCGUAGGCUGUGCGUUAAGUCAGGGGUGAAAUGCCGUCGCUCAACGACGGAGCUGCCCUUGAUACUGGCGUGCGGGAGUACGGAUGCCGUUGGAGAAAUGAGUGGUGUAGCGGUGAAAUGCUUAGAUAUCACUCAGAACACCGAUUGCGAAGGCAUCUGACGAAUCCGUCACUGACGCUGAGGCACGAAAGCGUGGGGAUAGAACAGGAUUAGAUACCCUGGUAUUCCACGCCGUAAACGAUGAUGACUAACCGUCGGCGAUAGACAGCCGGUGGCCAAGCGAAAGCGAUAAGUCAUCCACCUGGGGAGUACGUCGGCAACGAUGAAACUCAAAUGAAUUGGCGGGG
rnacentral:rRNA from 1 species